rfam:Candidatus Magasanikbacteria bacterium RIFCSPLOWO2_01_FTLL_40_15 rifcsplowo2_01_scaffold_9121, whole genome shotgun sequence.
GCCGUGGUAGCUCAGUGGUAGAGCAGAGGCCUGAAGAGCCUUGUGUCGCCAGUUCGAUCCUGGCCCGCGGCA